rfam:Triticum aestivum genome assembly, contig: Triticum_aestivum_CS42_TGACv1_scaffold_272376_3DS
GAACUAUUACCUCCAUCCCGAAAAGCUUGUCUUAGAUUUGUCUAGAUACGAAUGUAUCUAGACACGUCUUGGUGUUAGAUACAUCCGUAUUUAGACAAAUCCAAGACAAGCUUUUUGGGACGGAGGGAGUAGAUU